AACGAACGCUGGCGGCAUGCCUAACACAUGCAAGUCGAACGAGACCUUCGGGUCUAGUUGCGCACGGGUGCGUAACGCGUGGGAACCUGCCCUUAGGUUCGGAAUAACUCCCCGAAAGGGGUGCUAAUACCGGAUAAUGUCUUCGGACCAAAGAUUUAUCGCCAUUGGAUGGGCCCGCGUUGGAUUAGCUAGUUGGUAGGGUAAAAGCCUACCAAGGCGACGAUGCAUAGCUGGUCUGAGAGGAUGAUCCGCCACACUGGGACUGAGACACGGCCCAGACUCGUACGGGAGGGAGCAGUGGAGAAUAUUGGAGAAGGGGCGAAAGCGUGAUCCAGCCAUGCCGCGUGAGUGAUGAAGGCCGUAGGGUUGUAAAGCUCUUUUACCCGGGAUGAUAAUGACAGUACCGGGAGAAUAAGCUCCGGCUAACUCCGUG
rnacentral:rRNA from 1 species